rnacentral:rRNA from 1 species
AUUGAACGCUGGCGGCAGGCCUAACACAUGCAAGUCGAACGGUAACAGGAAGAAGCUUGCUUCUUUGCUGACGAGUGGCGGACGGGUGAGUAAUGUCUGGGAAACUGCCUGAUGGAGGGGGAUAACUACUGGAAACGGUAGCUAAUACCGCAUAACGUCGCAAGACCAAAGAGGGGGACCUUCGGGCCUCUUGCCAUCGGAUGUGCCCAGAUGGGAUUAGCUAGUAGGUGGGGUAACGGCUCACCUAGGCGACGAUCCCUAGCUGGUCUGAGAGGAUGACCAGCCACACUGGAACUGAGACACGGUCCAGACUCCUACGGGAGGCAGCAGUGGGGAAUAUUGCACAAUGGGCGCAAGCCUGAUGCAGCCAUGCCGCGUGUAUGAAGAAGGCCUUCGGGUUGUAAAGUACUUUCAGCGGGGAGGAAGGGAGUAAAGUUAAUACCUUUGCUCAUUGACGUUACCCGCAGAAGAAGCACCGGCUAACUCCGUGCCAGCAGCCGCGGUAAUACGGAGGGUGCAAGCGUUAAUCGGAAUUACUGGGCGUAAAGCGCACGCAGGCGGUUUGUUAAGUCAGAUGUGAAAUCCCCGGGCUCAACCUGGGAACUGCAUCUGAUACUGGCAAGCUUGAGUCUCGUAGAGGGGGGUAGAAUUCCAGGUGUAGCGGUGAAAUGCGUAGAGAUCUGGAGGAAUACCGGUGGCGAAGGCGGCCCCCUGGACGAAGACUGACGCUCAGGUGCGAAAGCGUGGGGAGCAAACAGGAUUAGAUACCCUGGUAGUCCACGCCGUAAACGAUGUCGACUUGGAGGUUGUGCCCUUGAGGCGUGGCUUCCGGAGCUAACGCGUUAAGUCGACCGCCUGGGGAGUACGGCCGCAAGGUUAAAACUCAAAUGAAUUGACGGGGGCCCGCACAAGCGGUGGAGCAUGUGGUUUAAUUCGAUGCAACGCGAAGAACCUUACCUGGUCUUGACAUCCACGGAAGUUUUCAGAGAUGAGAAUGUGCCUUCGGGAACCGUGAGACAGGUGCUGCAUGGCUGUCGUCAGCUCGUGUUGUGAAAUGUUGGGUUAAGUCCCGCAACGAGCGCAACCCUUAUCCUUUGUUGCCAGCGGUCCGGCCGGGAACUCAAAGGAGACUGCCAGUGAUAAACUGGAGGAAGGUGGGGAUGACGCCAAGUCAUCAUGGCCCUUACGACCAGGGCUACACACGUGCUACAAUGGCGCAUACAAAGAGAAGCGACCUCGCGAGAGCAAGCGGACCUCAUAAAGUGCGUCGUAGUCCGGAUUGGAGUCUGCAACUCGACUCCAUGAAGUCGGAAUCGCUAGUAAUCGUGGAUCAGAAUGCCACGGUGAAUACGUUCCCGGGCCUUGUACACACCGCCCGUCACACCAUGGGAGUGGGUUGCAAAAGAAGUAGGUAGCUUAACCUUCGGGAGGGCGCUUACCACUUUGUGAUUCAUGACUGGGGUGAAGUC